CACGUAGGGUGCGAGCGUUGUCCGGAAUUAUUGGGCGUAAAGAGCUCGUAGGCGGUGUGUCGCGUCGGCCGUGAAAACCUGCAGCUUAACUGUGGGCUUGCGGUCGAUACGGGCAUCACUAGAGGUCGGUAGGGGAGUGUGGAAUUCCUGGUGGAGCGGUGAAAUGCGCAGAUAUCAGGAGGAACACCCGUAGCGAAGGCGGCACUCUGGGCCGAUACUGACACUGAGGAGCGAAAGCGUGGGGAGCGAACAGG
rnacentral:rRNA from 1 species